GGACCCGCACAAGCGGUGGAGCAUGUGGUUUAAUUCGACAAUAAGCGAGGAACCUCACCAAGGUUUGACAUCCGGCUGCAGACUCCUGGAAACAGGAGAGCCUUCGAGGGUGCCGGACAGAUGCUGCAUGGUUGUCGUCAGCUCGUGUCGUGAGAUGUACCGUUAAUUCGGGAAACGAGCGCAACCCCUAUCCUAUGUUUCAUGUGUCAUAGGAAACUGCCCGUUUUAAAUGGGAGGAAGGUGGGGAUGACGUCAAAUCAGCAUGGUUCUUACACCUUGGGCGACACACGUGCUACAAUGGGAAGCACAAAGGGACGCCAAAUCGCAAGAUGGAGCAAAUCCUUUAAAACUUCUCUCAGUUCGGAUUGAGGUCUGCAACUCGACCUCAUGAAGCUGGAAUCGCUAGUAAACGUGGAUCAGCCACGCCACGUUGAAUACGUUCUCGGGUCUU
rnacentral:rRNA from 1 species